CGUGUGCUUUCUUCUGGACAUGUGGAAACAGAACUAAAUACAAGAAACAAAAACCAAGAACUUUAGAUGUAGUUUCUGAACCUGCCAUGAAUAAAUCCACACAAAUGGCUACCAAUUGAGGCUCUGAAAUAUCUCAGUAUAGAAUUCAAAACAGUUAGAUAUAUAUCUAUUAAAUUUCCAGAUUUGUUAAUUUGGAUAUUAUGCUCAUCAUUGAUUAAUUUUUUGAUAUAUUCAACGAGUGAUUGACUCUCCUCUAUUAUUAUUGACAUCAUACUUUGUCGACCAAAGCCGAAAUCACGGAGAUGUUUCAAUACGAAUCUUCUUUGUUCAGUCCAUAAAUUACCAUCAACGAGAAGUAAUCCUUAAAUCGAAGAAAUACAAAUAUAAUUGAUUAAAUAAAAUUAAACAUUUGGAUGAAGUUCAAGAAAAAUUAUCUCUUUUCUUCAUUCAAAUCAUUUCGAUGAUUUCUUGAAAUCUCGAUAUUAUCUCGAGAUAUAUUAGGAAAUGUUAGAGAAAUCAAAAUUUUUAAUUUUUUAUAUUAUAUAAAACCCGGCAAUUGACUUUAAUUUUCGAAAUAUUUGUAAAAAAAGAAUGCUAUUAUUACAUAAAAUUUUAUCUAUAAAUAUAUAUCUGUGAUUAUUUAUAUAUACAUGUAUGUAAAUGUGUACAUAAGCAUAAAAUUACCAUUUAUCUUCUGUAUUUAUUCUAUCUUAUAUAAAUAUAUAUUA